GUCAGGAACUGUGUGUGAUGUUGCAGGACAUUAGGCACAGAUGAAAAUCUAAGAAGUCCAGUGAUGACUUCACUGACAUGGAGAAGGUUGAAAAGAGCAGGCAAAAGAAUCCUCGAAGCUUAUGUAUCCAGACACAGACGGCUCCCGAUGCGCUGCCCCCUGAGAAAACACUUGAAUUGACGCAAUAUAAAACAAAAUGUGAAAACCAAAGUGGAUUUAUCCUGCAGCUCAAGCAGCUUCUUGCCUGUGGUAAUACCAAGUUUGAGGCAUUGACAGUUGUGAUUCAGCACCUGCUGUCUGAGCGGGAGGAAGCACUGAAACAACACAAAACCCUAUCUCAAGAACUUGUUAACCUCCGGGGAGAGCUAGUCACUGCUUCAACCACCUGUGAGAAAUUAGAAAAAGCCAGGAAUGAGUUACAAACAGCGUAUGAAGCAUUCGUCCAGCAGCACCAGGCUGAAAAAACAGAACGAGAGAAUCGGCUUAAAGAGUUUUACACCAGGGAGUAUGAAAAGCUUCGGGACACUUACAUUGAAGAAGCAGAGAAGUACAAAAUGCAAUUGC
rnacentral:sRNA from 1 species